AGACUACGCAAACCUACUUUUCGGACCGUCUGGCCAUGGAAGGACGUGCAUAAAAGCAAGGUUUCAUAUGGGAACAAAAUGUAACCAACGCGAACAAUGGGACAAGCUGGCGUAGGGUGGCUAUUUGUUAAUGUUACCCACCUACAACGUUUUAACUUAUUGCUAAUCUUACAUUAAUGUCGUCGUGAACAGUUCAAAGGUCGCUGGCGGAUUUCUUAACCAUUCGGUCUUUCAAGCAAAUCAACAGCGGAUACAAUGAAGGUCUGAAGAAAUUUUUACGGCUGCACUUUAAGUUUUAAGUUAUCGGUAAAAAAGACUUGAAAACUCGAAAAAAAAACU